UGUGGCUACAAAUGCAAUGAGUGAUCUCAGAGGUGGCUGAAUGCAGUGCUUUUCUGACUGGAAUGAUAAUGCCAACAGGAUGAUAAGAACUGAGAUGAAGCAUCCAAAAUGCCUUAUUAGCCUUUGAUGGGAUGUGAGGAGCUGCCAGGAUCUGCCUUUCAGCUGCAUUGUGUGUGGAAGUGCAGUGCUGCAGCAAUGUGGAGGGAAGGCCUAUUAGGGCUGCCUGAAGAGUUUGCAGAACGCAUGACAGAAUCCCACUUGAAAACAUUUUCUACUGCAGAAAUUGCUGUCUCAGGGGAAGGCGAAUAUAACAUCCCAGCGAUGCUUUCCCCUCUCUUGCAUCAACUUUGAAUCUGUGCCUGGCCAAGAGACUGGGAGCGCACUCUAACCGCGAGUACAAUUGAGUGUCUGUGCCAUGUCUAAUGGCUAUUAGUAUCGGACAAGGACUCUACACCACUUCAGAAUGGGUCUGUACWUCACCCU
rnacentral:lncRNA from 1 species